rnacentral:rRNA from 1 species
UGGGGAAUUUUGGACAAUGGACGCAAGUCUGAUCCAGCCAUGCCGCGUGCGGGCAGAAGGCCUUCGGGUUGUAAACCGCUUUUGUCAGGGAAGAAACGAGUUUCUCUAAUACAGAGACUUAAUGACGGUACCUGAAGAAUAAGCACCGGCUAACUACGUGCCAGCAGCCGCGGUAAUACGUAGGGUGCAAGCGUUAAUCGGAAUUACUGGGCGUAAAGCGUGCGCAGGCGGUUAUGCAAUACAGAUGUGAAAUCCCCGGGCUCAACCUGGGAACUGCCUUUGUGACUGCAUAGCUAGAGUACGGUAGAGGGGGAUGGAAUUCCGCGUGUAGCAGUGAAAUGCGUAGAUAUGCGGAGGAACACCGAUGGCGAAGGCAAUCCCCUGGACCUGUACUGACGCUCAUGCACGUAAGCGUGGGGAGCAAACA